CCGGCCCCGCUCUCCGGCCGCGCGCACCGCAGCGGGGGCGCUGGGGGCGCGUCCCGCCGCCGGCACCUGGCGGGCCCUGGAGGAGAGGUGCGCCCAGACGCCGCUGCCGCCGGCUGUCCCGAGGCGCUAGCGAAAGCAUCCUUCACUGAAUUAACGCAGUUCUCUUAGUGAGACUUCCUCUGCCUGCCCACUGGUUCCAUACACAGCGCACAGAUCACUGGCCUCACAAAAAGGGGAGUAAGGGCAAAUCUCACUAGCCCUUCUUGCCCAGCCUUGGUGGAGCCGGUUCCCGUGGGGGAAGAGAGGACAGAGAGGGCAGGCUAGAGCAGCAGGGACCUGCUGUCCCCUUUCCACGUCUCCUUGUCACUGCGAAAAGUUUGUGGGGAUGACCCUCAAACAAAUUGGCCUUAGGAGUGAAAUUACUAUCGCUGUAGUGCAGAUUUGUUUAAUUACUAAAAUGACUAACACUACUUCAGCUAAGAAUUUCCCAUGUAAUAUGAAUUCCAGGUAACGGGAAAUCAAAAGGUUAAAAGGUAGGUUCCUUACAUCAUGUCAUAUUCUGAAUGACUAAAAGUGACUUGAGCGUGUGAAACAGCUUUGAGGUAAUCAAAUUCCAAAAAUGGUUAAUUCCUCUGCAUUCCCUGGGCUUUGUGUGCUUGGCAUGUGCUCCCGUGGGAAGUGGAGUGUCAGUGAACGAGAAAGACCUAGUCAGGCAAUUGCGUGUGGGGUGAGGGAAAAUUGGAGUGAGCAGUGACUGAGUUGGACUCUGAACUGUGUAAAAUGCAUCAGACAAUUGUGCUAGCUAAUGUAUGAGGAGGAAUCACUGCACUACAGAUUAUCCAAGGAAAUGCUCUGGGAAAUUCUUGACCCAAAGAAUGAGAGAUAGCUGCAGAAUUGUGUAUAUUAGGGCAAAGCCAAAACUAUUGUCUGCCCUUUUAACUUAGAAGAUAGAGUAUACCAUCUGAAGUAGGUCCCUUUACUGUACAGUGAUUCAUAGAAGAAAACCCUCAACCAUCUCAAGAUAAAGAACUGAGAGAGAAGAGAAAUUACGGUGAUGAUGAGAGCCAUGUCAUGGCUAAAGAGAUCAGCAAGAGAGAGAGCAUGCAAGAUACAUGGACUGCUCUAACCUGGACAGGUCUAACAUUUUAUGCUAGUUGAGAUAAUUUUUCUCCCUUCUUGCAGUCAGUAUUCUCAGCAUAAAACUGAAGAGCAUAGUGAAUGCAGUAUCAUAUCACAGAGUAUUUUGCUUCUGUAAGUAUAAUGGUACCAAAAAGAACAGCUUAUCUGUAAACUGUUUGCUGGAUAAGGAAUUGGUGGAUGGUCACAUCCAGUGGGUGGUGGUUGGGGGCUCAGAGUCCUGAUAGACAUGAGUCCUUCAGGGGUCGGUACUGGGACCAGUUCUAUUUAAUAUCUUUCUCAGGUACAUAGAUGGAGAGAUCAUCCAGUUUGCAGAUGACACCAAGCUGAGUGGUGGAGUUGACACACCUGAAGGAAUGAACACCAUCCAGAUGGACCAGGACAAGCUCAGGAACCAGUCGAUGGAAAUCUCAUGAGAUUAAACAAGGCCAAGUACAGGAUAACUUUAAAACUGUUUUCAAGCACAGUCAAACACAAAUUCAGCAGAGGAGCAGCAUUUUUAAGGAAGUUCUACCAGGUCAUAUGAAAGUCGGCAUCUGAGUAAAGAAAGACAGCCCACAUUGGGAUGCCACUCUGAAGGAUCUUGACAAACUUGGGAGGUUGGCCUGUGCAACCCUCAUGCAGUUCAGCAAAGGCAAGUGCAAGGUCCUGCACCAGUUUUAGGGCAAUUCCAAGUAUGAAUGCAGGCUGGGCAGAGGACAGAUUGAAAGUAGCCCUGAGGAGAAGGACUUGGGGGUGUUGGUGAUUGAGAAGCUCAGCAAUGUGCACUUGCAAUCCAGAGAGCCAAUCAUGUCCUGGACUGCGUCAAGAGAAACAUGGUCUGCAGGUUGAGGGAGGAGUUUCUUCUUCUCUGAUCUGCCUUUGUGAGACCCCAUCAAAGUACUGCAUCCAACUCUGGGACUUCCAGCAUAGUAGUUUGUGGACCUGCUGGGGCAAGCCCAGAGGUGGGCCACGAAGAUGAUGUGAGGGCUGGAGCACCUCUCCUAUGUAAACAGAGUUGGAAUGUUCAACCUGGAGAAGAGAAGGCUCCAAGGAGACUUUAUAACAUCUUCCAGUUCUGAAAGAGAGCUUAAAGAGGCUCAAGUACAGCAGACCAUUUCCAGUUGCCCAACCUGUUUUUGUAAACCUUUUGUUCAAUUUAGUUCCACAGCUUACCCAUGCAGCUUGCUUACACCUCUCUUCUCGUACAGUUGCUUUCACAGGACAGUUUUCUGUAUUGGAAAUGACUGUGAUUUCUUGUCCUUCAGGAGGCAUAGAGAUUGGUUGCUGUCUCCUUACCAGGAAUCCUGUAUGCAUGAAAGCCUCCUAUCAUAUCUUUCCUCAGUUUUCUAGACUAAACAAAGAAAAUUUCUUCAAUCUCUCUUCAUAGUUCAUAUUUUCUGAACCUCUUAAUCUCCACUUUGGACUUUUUCCAGCUUUUAUUUAGCUUUUUUUGAAAAGCAUGGUUAUAAAAACUCUUAUGCAAUGCAAUUGUCUAUCUAAAGCCAUAUUAACACUUAAGUAAAAAAAAUUAGUCUCUUGUGUAUGUAAUAUUUCUGGUAGCAUGUACUGGCAUGACAGUGGUCUCCUCUUUCCUUGAAUUUUAAUUUUGCAAAGUGUCAUAUCAUUAAUUUUUGUGUCACCUGUGAUUUAAUACAGGCCUCCAGUCCUGUCAAUA